UGAUCCGAGAGACACUGUGGCUGCUCUCUGGGGUGAAGAAACACUUUAUAUUCCAGCAUCAGGAUGGAAAAGUGGUGGUCAGGAAUGACGUGGUGGUCACUCACCUAACUAACAACUGCCUACGGUCCGUGUUGGAGCACAUAGCAGUCUAUGGACAGGCAGUGUUCCGGCUGCAGAGGUUUAUAGACGAGGUAACGGGGUACGACACUGAGCCCUGCCCUCCAGGCUCCUACUCCUCUAAGCAGGGCACCGAGCCUCCCUUCAGGACUUACCAGGCUUUUGUCUGGGCUCUCUACAAAUACUUCACCUCCUUCAAACAGGAGCUCACCACCAUAGAAAGAGACCUCAUAGGCAAAGGCAGGUUUACCUUUCAU